rnacentral:rRNA from 1 species
CGUGAGAAUCUGCCUUAGUGAAGAAUACCUCCGAGAAAUCGGGGUUAAUGCUGCAUACGUCUUCGGGAAAGAUGCGCUAAAGGAUGAGCUUGCGUACUAUUAGCUAGUUGGUGAGGUAAUGGCUCACCAAGGCGAUGAUGGUUAGCCGGCCUGAGAGGGUGUACGGCCAUAUUGGAACUUAGACACGGUCCAGACUCCUACGGGAGGCAGCAGUGAGGAAUAUUGCGCAAUGGGCGAAAGCCUGACGCAGCGACGCCGCGUGGAGGAUGAAGGUUUUCGGAUUGUAAACUCCUGUUAAGUGGGAAGAAUGACGGUACCAUUAGAGAAAGCACCGGCUAACUUCGUGCCAGCAGCCGCGGUAAGACGAGGGGUGCGAGCGUUAUUCGGAAUCAUUGGGCGUAAAGGGUGCGUAGGCGGCAUGUUAAGUCAAUCGUUAAAUUUUCCGGCCUAACUGGAAGCAAGCGAUAGAUAC